rnacentral:rRNA from 1 species
UACGGAGGGUGCAAGCGUUGUCCGGAUUUACUGGGCGUAAAGAGCGCGCAGGCGGUCGAUCAAGUCGAGUGUGAAAGCCCCCGGCUCAACUGGGGAGGGUCAUUCGAUACUGAUCGACUCGAAGGCAGGAGAGGGUAGUGGAAUUCCCGGUGUAGUGGUGAAAUGCGUAGAUAUCGGGAGGAACACCAGUGGCGAAGGCGACUACCUGGCCUGUUCUUGACGCUGAGGCGCGAAAGCUAGGGGAGCAAACGGG